rnacentral:misc_RNA from 1 species
GAUGAAGAACGUAGCGAAAUGCGAUACGUAAUGUGAAUUGCAGAAUUCAGUGAAUCAUCGAAUCUUUGAACGCAUAUUGCUCUCUCUGGUAUUCCGGAGAGCAUGCUUGUUUGAGUAUCAGUAAACACCUCAACUCCCUUUUCUUUUUUGAAAUGGGAGCUGGACUUGAGUGAUCCCAACACUUUUCUCACUGGAAAGUGGCGGGUCACUUGAAAUGCAGGUGCAGCUGGACUUUUCUCUGAGCUAUAAGCAUAUCUAUUUAGUCUGCCUAAAAAACAGAUUAUUACCUUUGCUGCAGCUAACAUAAAGGAGAUGAGUUCUUGUGCUGACUGAUGCAUGAUUCACAGAGACAGCUUUGCGGCUGACUUUGUAAACUCGAUCUCAAAUCAAGUAAGACUACCCGCUGAACUUAAGCAUAUCAAUAAGCGGAGGA